rnacentral:rRNA from 1 species
UCGCCUGUUUAUCAAAAACAUCGCCUCUUGCUUUAAUGAGAGGUAGUGCCUGCUCAAUGCCUUCGGGUAAAUAGCCGCAGUAUUCUGACUGUGCUAAGGUAGCAUAAUCAUUUGUCUCUUGAUUGGAGGCUGGUAUGAAUGGCGUGACGAGAAACCGACUGUCUCUUGAGUGAUUGUCGAACUUCACUUCUAGGUGAAAAGGCCUAGAUAGUUCUGGAGGACGAUCAGACCCUGUAGAGCUUUAAUUGAUAUCCUUAUUAUAGUGUAGCAGAAUGUUAUAUAAGUAAGAGGGUUUAAUUUUGGUUGGGGCGACAGAGAGAAAUAAAUAACACUCUUUUUAAUAACCACAUAUGAGUGAAUUAUUGAUCCCCUAAGAGGGAUUAGAAGACUAAGUUACCUCAGGGAUAACAGCGUAAUUCUUUUGGAGAGUUCUUAUCGAUAAAGGAACCGCGACUCGCAUGUGAUCAAAAACAUAUACGUGAUCUGAGUCAGA